AACCGAAAACCAAUUGAAUAAUGAAUGACAUGUUUAUCAGCCAAUUGAAGGGAGGCAAAGUCCCGCCUACUGGGUGGUUGAUGGACAGCGACAGGAAGCUGGGAGGGGCGGGGCUUAGUCGAAGAGUGCUUUUGUAUUGGUCGUGGUUGACCUUCCACCCACCUCUAACCCAGAGGAUGAGUGAUAGAUCUGCCCUGAAGCCAAUCAGAAGUCCUUAGGGUGAGGCCCACAAAUGCCCCAGAAAUAGCAUAUACAUUGCGCCCUAAGUCCAGUCUCGCCCAGGUGUGGCAGGAGCUUUUACCUGCUCUUCGGCAGUAGCCGGCUGCCACUCAACCCCAUGCCUGAGCUGUCCUCAUCUAAUCCAUCAGUACCAGACAGUGAACAUCUCUCCCCCAGGAUGCUGAGGAAGGGUGCUGGACGGAAGGAUGUGGAACUACAGCCUCUGCUCUCAAGAUGCUCAGAUCUGGGCAGGGAACAUCACACAUCUGGGCCUGUCAGGGGGUUGGGGGCUGGGGGAGGGAUAGCAUUAGGAGAAAUACCUAAUGUAAAUGACAAGUUGAUGGGUGCAGCAAACCAGCAUGGCACAUGUAUACCUAUGUAACAAACCUGCAUGUUGUGCACGUAUACUCUAGAACUUAAAGUAUAAUUAAAAAAAAAAAAAAAGCUUCAGAUCCCUCCUGGAGCCUCCUAUGAAACCA